ACCCAGCUGGCUCAGUCAGUAGAGCGUGGGACUCUCGAUCUCAGCGUCAUGAGUUCAAGCCCCACGUUGGGUG
rnacentral:tRNA from 1 species